rnacentral:rRNA from 1 species
CACGUAGUUAGCCGGGGCUUUCUUCUCAGGUACCGUCACCUAAAGAGCAGUUACUCUCUCUAGCGUUCUUCCCUGGCAACAGAGCUUUACGAUCCGAAAACCUUCAUCACUCACGCGGCGUUGCUCCGUCAGACUUUCGUCCAUUGCGGAAGAUUCCCUACUGCUGCCUCCCGUAGGAGUCUGGGCCGUGUCUCAGUCCCAGUGUGGCCGAUCACCCUCUCAGGUCGGCUACGCAUCGUCGCCUUGGUGAGCCGUUACCUCACCAACUAGCUAAUGCGCCGCAGGUCCAUCCAUAAGUGACAGAUUGCUCCGCCUUUCCCAACUCCCUCAUGCGAGAGAAUCGCGUAUCCGGUAUUAGCAUCCGUUUCCGAAUGUUAUCCCGGUCUUAUGGGCAGGUUACCUACGUGUUACUCACCCGUCCGCCGCUAAGCAUCGUGUUUUCCGAAGAAAACACUAGCUCCGCUCGACUUGCAUGUAUUAGGCACGCCGCCAGCGUUCGU